AUACUGCUUGCCGACGUGGCAGCCACGGUGGACCGCAUUACAUACAUAAUUACUCGUUUCUUCCCCAUGGAAGAACCGUAGCCUCCUCUGUUCAAAUCGAUUCCCUAGCAGCUCUGCCCCCUCCCCUAGAUCUAACCCGCAUCGCACCCAUUAAUGGAACAUCCACCUCCAUAUGUGACCGAUGCAGUACAAGAAAGGUGAUUGCACUCAGGGCCAAGACAAGCGGAAACUAUGGACGGUACUUCUACAUCUGCCCGACAUACAAGCGUGAUGGUAGUGGUUGUGACUUCUGGUACUAGGAAGAUGACUAUGAGCAAUAUUUGAUGGAGAAUGGCCAUGUUCUACAUAAUCAUCUACCAAUAUUCAGCCAAGCAGAGAAGAUGAUUACUGGUGAAGCUGAUGUUUUAGGAAGUUGUGGAAUGAAGAGGGAAGAUAGAAAAGCAGAUGGCCUGAUGGUUCAAAAGCUAGAUUUAGUAGUAGGGUUACUUAGUUAAGAUUGUUGUGCCACUAAAAAUAAUAUCAGUCUUAUGUGUGUGCAUUUUUCUGAUUAAUCUAUAUGUAAGGAUUGUUUGAUGUGAGUUAUGGUGGUAAUGAAUGAAAAGAGUACUCAGAUUCAUUAAGCAUUUGUAAA